GAUGUAAGGGCCGGAAGCUCGCUCCUCUUCAAGGGAGAAUGACGUCUGUAGGGUCCACUGGAGGAAACAAGCUCGCACCCUUUCCCGCUUUCUGCGGCAAUCGGCAGCAGCUUUCUCCAAAGAAGGGAAAAUAAUCAGGCCUCUUUAGGGACGCCACAGAUGCGCCAAGGGGAAAUCGUGCAAGCGUCGUCAUGUGACCAAACUGGCCACUGCGGUGAGCCAGCUUCCAGCAGCACGUGGCUCUAAACGCUAAAAUGCAUCCCCCAAGGAAAUUGGUGUGCUAUCGUCCCUAGUUCCCUGGUAGGAUAACGUUGGAGGACAUGACUUUACCUGUUACAGAGCAAGACGAGUUGCAGAGAAAUUCCGUUGUACGACAGUAAGUAAAGUCCUUGUAUGGCACAUGUGUGUCCCUCCUCGGCGCUAGGACUCGAUGAUGAAACCAUGAGCAUGCUAGACAUGUGCUCCACCAAUGAGCUACAGGACUUAAACGUUAAUGUAAGCAGCUUGCACUCCUCACAACUUGAAAGUCAGAACAAGACAAAAGCACACGCUGUGUAACUUCUUGAAAGAUUAGUCUCGUUUGUAUUAGUUGGAUACUGUUUCCUCCCCAGACUGAAACAUACUAAGUUCCGAACAAACGGCCAGGUGUUCCUUAUACUCCCCCAUUCCUACAUUAUGAACUUGUAACUUUAAGUGACAUGUUAUAUAAGUAACAUUCUGUGUCCAGUAGGAUUCUUGAAACAGUUUGCUAAAUGCUUUUGACUUAAAAGGUAACGUUAGGGAUUUGAGAAGUCCUUUAUGUUCGGAUGGAACCUCCGUCUCGCCCCUGCAUGAUCCGGAAAGCCCCAUUUAUGUCUCUUCCUGUCUCUACCCCCAACCCCCCCCCCCCCGCGCCCCCUCCCACACAUACUCAGAGCCUCCGAACAAAGGAAAGGCGACAAAAAGUCCAGUUCCGAAUUCUUAGCGGCUACUACAGCUUCCUCCCCUGAAGUUGCCAGCUGCGCAAGUCCCCAUGUAAUGCACUCAGCUUUUGACCAUACUAGGCACAAACCCAGCUUGUGGCUUACAUGUCAUCAUCCCUUGCCUACAACCUAUGAAGUCUCCCUGCUUUCAUUUGUGGGCGCCGUCUUCUCUCGCCUCCAUCUCUGGGACUGGAGAACCCGCCCAGAAGUUGCUUUCCUCAAAUAAACCCGUUGUUAGACUCUCUCUCAGUUUGGCUUUCUCAGGCUUACUGCGUGGGUGGAGAAACCUAUUACUUUACACUCAAUUUCUGAUCUGAUUUUGGUGAUAAUGGUACCCGUUAAAUAAUGCAAGUAUUUAUUACUAUAAUGGGUUGACAGCAAGCCCAGGUAGUAAUUUCCAAAGCUACAACGAGAUUUCUGCAGAAUUAAAAGCAAACAAGAGGCAUGGAGAAAUGAUAAGUGAAGUCUAGUCCGAAGACAAUAUAAGUGGCCUAGAAAUCAGGUUGCUGUUAAAUCUGUAAUUCGUGAGGAGAAAAGACCCAAGUCCGUGAUUGUCCAGUUAAAGCAAGCUAUAUUUGGGGGUGCACUCGGGACUGGCUCAUUCCCUGCAUCACCCUAAGUCGGAAUUUAAAAGAGCAGCUCCCGCUGGCCUUUUAAGUCUCUCUAUUAGGAGAGAGAUAAGGUAUUCACAGGGGCGAGAAGGUUGGCUGUUAUAUGCUGUUAAAAGGAUACAAUGAAAAGGGGAUGAACAAAGGCAAGAAUAUAUAUCAAGUGGGGUUAUAAGCAGUUUACAUCAGACCUAAGAAACAAGAACUCUUUUAUUUUUUAAUUUUAAUUUAUUUAUUUUUGGUUUUUAGAGGCAGGGUUUCCCUGUGUAACAGCUCUGGUUGUCCUGGAACUCACUAUGCCUCUGUCUCCCGAGUGCUGGGAUGAAAGGCAUACACUACCACUGCCCGGCGAACUUACCCUUAAUUACAAAUAGAAACCUUAUUUAGCACAAACAGGGACUUGUCCCUUAACUAGGACUCAGCACAGAGCAGACAGGAACUUUUUUUUUUUAAAGAUUUAUCUAUUAUGUAUAGUGUUUUAUCUGCAUAUAUGCUUAUAGUCCAGAAGAGGGCACCAGAUCUCAUAGAUGGUUGUGAGCCACCAUGUGGUUGCUGGGAAUUGAACUCAGGACCUCUGGAAGAGCAGUCGGUGCUCUUAACUGCUGAGCCAUCUCUCCAGCCCGAGGAACUUCUUAAUUACAAUUAGAAACCUUAUUUUGUAAAGAUUUAACACAGGACAAACAGGAAUGUCUUUUAAACUCUCUUAGCUGCAAAUAGAUCUCUUAACCUGCAAGGUAUAAUUUUUCUGUUCUGGUCAUUAACUUGCGAGGCAUUUGUCUCACAUUACUCUUAGUGGAUCAGAAUUGAUCAAGGCAACUUGCAAAUAAAAGGGAGCCUAGCAGAAGCAGAUUGUCUUUCUUAGAGCAUUAGAACAGUGAAGGGCAACAGUCUCAGCAGAGUUGGAGAAGAUGCUCCAAGGUGGGGGUGGCUUGAGGGCUUCGUAGGGCAGGGAACUAUUGGAGUGUAAAUUCCAUCUCCAGAUCUGUGUGCUGCGCUAACAGGUUCUGACCAAUAUGUUGACUUCCUUGUCAGGAGUUGACUUCCUUCCUCAGCUCCAAACUGCUUGCAGAUGUUAUCAGUGUGUCAGCUUUCUUGUAUGGAGUUUCUCCGCUUGCCUGAAGCUUUCAGGUCAUUAACUCUUCAGCCCUGACACACACACACACACCCAAUACAUACACAACUGACCCAUACCUCCACUUCAAAACCACAUCUUGCUUGACAGAACAAAGAGUUCCUCCUUCCUUGCAGGGAAAUGAUGCUUGUUUUUGCCUCUGUAAACUCUGUAUUUUCUCCCGUCAGGGCUGAGAGUUCUUUGUGGCAGAAGCCUAUUGUCAGUUGCCAGCUUCAAUAAAGGACUCCGACUUGGUCUUAUAUUUGUGGUGUUCUAGAUGUAAUUACUCAAAUAAGCAUCUCAUUUGGAGGCCCCGGUGAGCUAUCUCAUACCACAUGAGACUCAGCCUCACUGCAGACAAGAGGUUGAAGGGGAGGCAGGCCCUGAAGACAUUCCAGGGCCUCUCACUGAGUCCGGAGAGGUCUGGUAUGACUGCCAUGUUCCCAGGCACCAAAAUGGAUCCGAUCCCUCUGGUUCUCCUGGGAGGUAAAUCUGUAUUCUGUAUUCAGUUCUGGCUCAAGGUCUUUGCCUGUUCCUUUGCUUUAUAUUGGAAUGCCAGUUACUAAAGACCUAACUACCUGAUUUAGUCUGAGCAAGUGGCCAGCCCAAGUAACGUGUGAAUGAUUCAGUGGAGUAGUUGGCUUGCAUCUGGACCACCGGCUCCAAGGUUAGAGCUGGGAAUCUGGCAGAGGCUACUGAGUCUAGGUGGGUCCUAACUGGCGGUGACUGCGUAUGGCUCAGUGGUGACAGUUCAGAAUCUGCCUAUUGUCAAAGUUCCCCAAGAUGGAGAGCCAGCUGGUGAGCAAACUGAGUUCUGCUCUGGACAGUGCUUGUCCUGGGGGUGGGGUGGGGGGUGGGGCAGGGAGGUCUAGAUCUUUGUUCUCUGUGUAUCUGUUGUGUCUUGUCCUUUUGUCUGUCUCAAGGAUGCAAGAGCUGGUCUGUCCACCAGGCUUUUUGACUUAGUGACAACCAGAAGUCAACCUGGGGUGUGCACCUCCCCUUUCAAGAAGCGACCCCCUGCCCUCUUCACCUGAGUUACAAGAGCAGCGUUAAUCCCUGCCCUGGGAUAAUGACAGUUCCAACUGGUAGCCAACAGAUGACGAGGAAAAAGAGGAGACCCCGCAGUCUGCACUACCCUCCCUCCCUCCUUCUGAGGACAAGAGUUCUCCAGGUGUAUGAGCAGGUACACUCCUGUCCUCGACUCAAAGGUCUCACCUAAUACCACCCCAUCUGCUUGUACCUUCUCCGCCUGAUCCCUUUGACCUUUUGCUUCCUGGAGUCACAUAAACUUUUCUCUACAGAGGGGGCAACCAUUCCAAACCUCUCCUACAAUGCAUGUUCAAGAAUUUUCCCCCCAGUUGUGGGGACAAUUAUUGUGUUAGCCUCACUAAGGAGAAACUGCUUUUGUGUGAGGUCAGUUGGCCCUCAUAUAAGGUGGGCUGGCCAGCAGCUGGCUCUCUGGACCCCACCGCUGCUUGAGCCAUCUGGCUCUCUGGACCCCACCGCUGCUUGAGCCAUCUGGCUCAAGGUCACAGGUACCCCAGAACCUCAAUCAGUCCCCUUAUAUUGAUCAUUGGCUGUUGGGCAAAAUCCCUGUGCCUGGCUCUAAGUCUGUGCCCUCCAGACCUACCCUACUCUCCUAGUCCCGUUUCCCCACUUUGCAAACUGAAGAUUCCUUUCCUCUGCCUCAGAAUUCUCACCCUGCUCCCGGGUUCUUCCCACUCCUUCCUAAAUAACUCCACCUCCUCCUCUUCCUCCUGCCUCUCCUUGUCCACCCCCCAUACUGAACUUGAAAAUUCAGAGACUUGGCCAGGCAUGGUGGCAUACAAAAUUAAUCCCAGCACUCCGGAGCAGAGGCAAGAAUAUCUCCCAAGUUUGAGGCCAGCCUGGUCCAUACAGAGUUCCAGGCUAGCCACGUAUACUGAGAACCUGUCUUAAAAAAACAAAGUUCCCUGGGACAGCCUUACUGGAAGGUGAGUAAGUCAGGUAGAGCAAGGGUGGGAAGCAGCAGUGUGUAUGGGGUUGGGCAGAACCAGAGCUGAAGAUGUCUUCUGCAGUGUAGAGUCUGACCAUGCUAUCCAGCAGCCAGCUUCUAACAAUUUCAGAACAUCCAAGUCUUUAAAUAUAUAUAUAUAUAUAUUUGAGGGUAUUUUCCACACUAUGCUUUUGCUUAUGGCUGAAAAUUUAAAAUCUGUAAAGUUCCAGCAGAGGUAUAAGCCACUAGAGGGUGCUUUCAUACAUGAUCAGCAGAUUCAACCAAUGUAAAUGGUACAGCAAAUAACUUUGCUCAUUACACUGUAACUGAAAUUUAGUAUCACAACUACCAUAUCCGUACUGAAGAGGUUCAGAUAUGCCACUGAUACCCACCCAGGAGCUGACCAGGGAAGACUGACUUAUUCCUAAGCAGUAAGUGGGCACCAUGUCUAAGCCUCACAGAAGCCUCUGCAGCUCGCCUAAGGUACCACUCUUUACGAAGGUACGCAAGCACCAAGUCCUACCCACUCCCUUUGAGUUGUAGUUUGUGAACCUUCACAGGUGUGUGGUUACAUAGGCCUUCCUCUUGUGUCCAUCACUUAGUGUGGAAGUACAGAGAAUCAGGCAUGGUGAUUCAUGUCUGUAAACCCAGCAUUCAAGAAGCUGAGACAGAGUAGUGUCUAGCUGCAAACAGACCUUGUCUCAAACAAUAGGGGAAAAUCCUUUUUUCCCCAACUAUGUCAAAUAAGAAAACUUCAUUAAUGGGGAAACCAAAUAUUUAAAUGGGGCUGAGAAUAUAGUUGAAUUGCUAGAGUGCUUACCUAGCAUGUAUGAAGCCUUUGGUCCAAUCUCUAGCAUCUUAUAAACCAGGAGGUAGAGGGACUCAAGUCUGAGGUUAGAGCUAGGGUUGCACCUCAGUUGAUUGAGUGCUUUGCUUAGCGUGCACAAAGUCCUGAGUCAGGAAGUCCAAGUACCACGUAAACCAAGCAUCCUGGUGAUACCUACGCCAAUGUGGGGGGGAGGGCGGAGGGGGGGGAGGGGGAACGACGACAGAAGGAUCCGAAGUUAAAGAUCACCUUGGUUACAUAAGGAGUUCAAAGCUAACCUGGGCUACAAGACCCUACUUUAAUUUUUUGUUUCUUUUUCCAGACAGUUGCCUUGGCUGUCCUGGAACUCUUCUAUGUAGACCAGGCUGGCCUCGAACUCACAGAGAUCCAUCUGCCUCUGCCAUCCGAGUGUUGGGAUUUAGUUUUGUUUUAAAAGUAUUUUGAGGUCAUCCUCGACUAUAUAGUGAAUUUGAGACCAGCUCUGCCUGUAUGAGACCAUCUUAACACAAGAAACAUGUUCAGUGUCUCUUUAACCCUGGGUAGUUUCUUUUUUAUGUUAGGUCCCAAUACAUAGGAAAAAAAAUUUUUUUGGAGAUAGAGCCUCAUAUAGCUCUAACUAGCUUGGAAUUCCCUAUGUAGAUCAAGCUGCCCUUGAACUUGUGGUAAUCCUCCUGCCUCUGCAUCUCAAGUGCUGAGAUUACAGGUAUGUACCACUACUCCCAGUGAGAUUAUGAUUUUACCAUCUAGGUAAAACCUAGGCAUGGCCAUCUUUUUAGAGCUCUUGAAGUGACCCUGACACUGGAGUAAGAUUGAGAACCACUGUGCCACUACAUCAGUGGACAAAUUUAGCUUGUAGUUUGAUGUUUUUAUUUACCAGCUUUUGACUAAAAUCCCAAAACUGAAUUCAGAAAAAAAACUUAGAUUAUGCACCAGAAAGUCUCAGGUGGAGUGAAUCAGCAUUUUAUGUAAGUUUUAAGCAAACUAGUUAAAACUGAAGCUGGAGAGAUGGCUCAGUGGUUAAUAGCAAGCACGUGGGUCUGCUCCCAGCACCCACAUGGGGGCUCGUAACCACCUGUAACUUCAGCUCCAGGGGGUCUAAUGCCCUCCUCUGCCCUGCCUGGACACUGCCCACAUCUGGACAGACAGACAUGCAGGCGAAACAGCAAUACACAUAAAAAACAGAAUAAACCUUCACAAACCUUAAGCUACGUGCUAUUUAUAAAAACUCACUGUUGUGACUGUGUCUUCCUGAACCAUUGGACAAGCCUGUGUUCAAUCUACUAACAAUGAGAAGGUUUGAGAAUAAAGUCAUUUUACUCAGA